UUUCGUAGCCAACCUAGUUCAGAAACGGCUGAAUGUAGUCAGUCCGGUCGGGCGCUAUCAGGCCGAUGUGACGAGGAAUCAGAGGCCAUUGUUGAUCAGGAAUAAAACUCUCGACACUGCCCCAGUUCAAAGAGGCUGGCAAGCGAAGAUCAUCUUUGGCAGGCAAUACAUUCUUUGCGUGUAGGUCAUGGCACGUAUCUUCCACUUCGAAGAAAACCAAACAACAAAUAACGUGUUUCCUGUCUGAUUUCUGCCGUGCAUUCUACUACGAAGCAGACCACGGGGACUCGGUCGUCAAGAAUGACAACUCUACUUGCACAAAAUCGGACUUUGCCUGAUCAUCUUGAACUGAAAAGUUACCACAACAGUACCGGUUCAAAAACAUCGCAAUGGUCACGCAAGAGGAGAAAAGUUGACUGAAUAACUUACCCAUGCAUAUUUGGGACAUGCAAAGGCACAAGAAGAAAAGAGCCACAUGGAGGGAGAGAGAGAGAGGAGGAGGAAGAGAGAGAGAGAGAGAGAGAGAGAAGGGGACGUCCUUGCCUAGCCAUGUUGUUUUGGAAUACUCUCAUGUGCUGGUGCUGCUGCUGCUGGUUGCCUUGUGUGAUUUGAGGUGCCAUUAUGUGGAUGAAGCUCUUCCCCUCUGGUGACAUCAUGAUGGAUAAGGGUACUACAAACACACUGUAGUUUUCAGAGUGAAGAGUCCGCACAUUUAGAAUCCUUUUUGUUGUGUUUUAUUUUUUCAUGGCAGGAUAACGUUUCGACCUCAACAGUCUUCUUCAGAUUCCUACAAACUACAAACACACUGACCAAAUAUUUACUAAUAAUUCAGACUAUACAGUGGGUGAAUAUUUUAUUCUUUAACGUAGGCUCAUAUUCCUGGUGUCAUUUUUCGCAGGCAAUAUUUG